AGACAUCCAGUUGAAUUUGCAUUUCAGAUACACGAUAAGUAAUUGUUUAGUGUAAGUAUGGUCCAUGCAAAAUUUGGGACAUACUUAUACUAAACAUUCAUUUGUUCCUUAUCUGAAAUUUAAAUUUAACUA
ensembl:miRNA